rnacentral:lncRNA from 1 species
AACACCAAUCACCACACCCUCGUCUGCCCCACAUUCACAAAUAGAGCAAAGGCUUGGGUUGGAGGCACGUGUGGCGUGGCGUGCUGCGAGGAGGGAGGUUAAAAGUUAUUUAUACGGUAGACGUCUGGGUGAGGCGCUCAAGAACGAAAGAACACUCCCACUUCCUGCACCUUAAGUCUCUGUCUGCACGUCUGAGGCCGACUGUGACCUACUGCCGAUGCUCCACUCAUGUCCACACUGUGAUUUUCAUUGGUGCUUUUCUCCAACUGUUGUUGUUUGUUGACUCACAUCAGGACGUCAACAACACAAACAAUCACAGAGGAGCGGUCGUGCCUUCGGAAUUCUUGCAAUGAAUGGAAGCAAAGACGCUUUAAACAAGAUAAACCCCCAUUUUAUUAACUACUCUUAAAUAUUUCUUUACUGUAACACACACACACACACACACGCGCACACACACACACACACACACACGAGUAUUAAGGUUCAGUUUUUGACCAAUCAAGUUAACUGGGGACCAAAUUAGUUCAUAAUCAUAGUUAAUAAUGAUAAUAUUACCAUUAGGUAACAUAGAAAUAACCAUUAAAAUACAUUAAAAUGAUACAAUAAAACCUAUUUAGUGAUGUUUUAUAAACCUCUUCAAGUCUUUGAAGCCUUAUCGUCCAAAAUAGAUGUUUUAAUAAUGAUUGAUAAUGUCAGUCUUGAGGUCUUAACACUGAUAAUAUGGACGUAAACUCCUGAAUUUAAUCUGAAACUGUCUUUUGUGUGGCUGCACUGACGUGCCUGACUGAUCUGAGGUCAGGGAGGCAUCAGCGGUUCUGGAGGUGAGCAGCGGCGGCCUAAUCCUGAAGAUCCAGAGUUAACUGGGUCAGCAGGUCAGCGUCUCCCGUCCCUCUAAAGUCUCCCGUCGCCUGUUUGCACCUCGGAUGCAGUUCAGGAAAAUCAAACAGCACCAAAAUGACGCCCCAAAUGGAAGGGAGGGAAAACCAAAACGUGCACGACGCCGCAGUAGCAGGCUGGACCGGACCGGGCUGCACGAGUGACGUCAAAAUCAGGGACUCCCGCGUUUCACCCCCACAAACGGCGUCGUUCCAAAAACGGAGGCACCUGUUGGAGUUUGGGGGCAGAAAAGAGAAGUUGUGAACAGAAAAAUAAGAAUUCUGAGACCGUUUUGGGACUCCGAUGAACAUUUGUGGCGCUUCAGGUUUUGAUGUCAGGCUGCAAGGACAACCCAGUGACCUCCCCUCGGAGGUCACUGGGUUGUCUGUGGCGUUUGAUACCUGCUGGCGUGACUCCGCCCGAGGUUCCGCAUCUCCAGGAUAAGACCUGACCACGGUGAGCUGAUCUUGUAGUCUGAGUGCUGUAAGAUGCGUGUGUGUUUGGGGGGAGGUUAUAAGAGGAUUUGAGCGUCCAGGCCUGCACGGUGCACGUGAGGGCCAGACUCGGUGACCUCUGCACCGCGGUGAUCUCAGUGUCCCACAUUCAUCAAAACCUACGAGGUAAACACAAGUGGCAAGGUUAAGAAAGGAGCUUUGAGGCGUCGCCGCGCUGCUGAACGGUCAAAUAAAAACACACAUGUGGAACUCUGACCAUCCGUGGUCAAACGCGCCACCGCACACGUGCUGCGUUGGACGGAUUUCUGGCGUCCGCAAAAAUGGCAGCUGGGUGGUGAGAAUCCCGACAAUCGGAGGAAUGAGCAAGGGCAAAGAUUCCGGCCCAAAUCAGAAGUGACAGAAGAGUGACAGUAAAAUAAAUCUGUCCAGAAUAGCCGGCAAGCGGUGGUCAAAAAUAGAGUGAGAAAACAAUGACUAACGAGGAGGCGUCAUCCGAAGGAGCCGAAGUGUCGCCUCUCGGCACCUCCGGUGAUGUUAACAAGC